AUCCAAGAUCAAACCCAGAUAAAGUCAGUUUUCCUCUCAGCCUGCCCUGGCAUCAGUCUCAAAGUGGGGGCCGACCAGCAACAACCCCCAGGGAGUUUUAACAACCACAGAAUUUGGGAUGGCUGGUAAUCAUUCUCAGAAUAUAAAACACAGAGAACAAACAGACUGCCCUGAUUGUUAUUCCAGCAUCAUCACAAACCCCCAGGAUGCCUGGAAGGCCAAAGAAUCAAGGCCAGCUGUAUGCACGGGCCUACUCUCAAGCCUUCAUCCUCUUACCCGAUAGCAGGCGAUUCCCAGUCCUAGCCAGAUAGAUGAGUCCCAGUCGCAGAAAGAUGAAGUGCAUUUCAGAAGCAUCCACUACAAAGCUAAUGGUUCGUUCAUAGCAUGCCUUGGCCUCAGCAUGAUUUCCACUCAGAAAAUAGAGAUGGCCCUUCAGGCCCCAGACAUUGGGGCUCUGGGAAAGUAAAAAACAAGUAGUACAUGGGAUAAAGUAGUAUUUAAAAGUAACUUGAUGACCUUUGUUUAACCAUAUUAUUUAAAUAUAGACAGAUUAAGUCUAUUUUCUUUUUGAGAUCAACUGUCUUCUUUUUCUAAGAGCACUCAGAAAUAUAACCAAUUAAUUGUACUCAGAGAGAUUUUUCUAGGUCUGCCCUCAGAUUUCUUUCUUGCAUGCUUCAAAGCCAUUUUGGGUGUGGAGUAAAUAUUAAGAAAAACAUUCAAGCAUAACCCCCAUACUAUUCACAUGAGAAAACAGAAGAAACCUAGAAAAAUUGAAAUAAACACUAUCAGCUAAAGAUACCCUUUUCUCUGCCCUUUGCAAAACUCACG